rnacentral:lncRNA from 1 species
AUGCCCACUGUGAGCCCAAAACCCCGCGGGAUCCCUGCAGGGUGGGACAAACCCAGCUGGUCACCACUCAGGGAGGAGGUUCCCCUCUUUGGGACUGGCCUUAUCUCAGCCCUCAGGGGCCGCUGCCCUUCGGAUCCAGCCCGGACACCCCAAAUCCCCCCUGGUACGUGCCCCCACUCCCCGUCACACCCCGUGAGCCCCCACCAAGCCGGGCUGAUCGCGUUCGAGCUUUCCGGGGCCCUUCUCACGGCUUUGUUUGAGCCCCGGACCCGUGCCAGGCUGCCCGAGCCCUCCUGUCCCUCCUGUCCCUCCUGUCCCGCCUUUGGGCUGCUCCAGCUCAAUCCCGGCUCACAGAGAGCGGGGAGGAGCCCGGGGAAGGGACACCCGGCCGGUCCCAGCUGCCGCACACCCGGGAGAGCCGCGCUGGCACAGCCCCGCCGGGACCCGCCCGCUGACGCUGCCCGUUCUCUCUGUCCCCAGCGCACCCGCGGGUGUCCCUGGGCGCGGGGCUGUCCCUCCUCUGCCUCGGCGUCCUCCAGGGCUGUGCCAUGUGCUGGUGGCACCGCCGGGGCCCGGGGUGCCCCCUGGGCCGGCAGCGAGCGGAGCUGGGGCGGCUCUGCCCGCGGCCACGGUGCCCAUCCAGCAGCGCGGCGAGGAGCGGACGGGGAAGGAGAUUUCCCCGGUAUCACCGGCACCCCACAGGGGUUCACCCCACGGCACAGCAUCCCUGCCCGCCCUCCCCUUCCUCCCGCAGCCGGCGGGGCUGUGGCAGCGGCCCCGAACUGCUCUGCACCGAGCGGAGCCGCCGGUCCCCGCCGCCCCGGGCUCCGGGCAGCGUCCCCGGCUCCGCUGCCACCUCUGCUACUCCCUGCCCGAGGCCACCCUCGCUGUCACCAUCCUCGGCGUGUCACAUCUGCCCCGGGGCCAGCAGGGCUCCCUCGUCGAGGUGUCCCUGGUGUGGCUGUCCCGCCGCGUGUCCGUGCGACGCGGGAGCCGCCGGGAGCCGCCGGGAGCCGGUGCCGGUGCCGGUGCCGGUGCCGGUGCCGGUGCCGGUGCCGGUUCGGUCCGUGA